rnacentral:rRNA from 1 species
AGAGUUUGAUCAUGGCUCAGGAUAAACGCUGGCGGCAUGCCUAAUACAUGCAAGUCGAACGAGAUCUUCGGAUCUAGUGGCGAACGGGUGAGGAACACGUAAGAAACCUGCCCCAAAGACGAGGAUAACUAUUGGAAACGAUAGCUAAUACUGGAUAGGAUAUAAGGCCGCAUGGUCUAAUAUUUAAAGGAGCUUUCAAGCUCCGCUUAGGGAUGGUCUUGCGCAGCAUUAGCUAGUUGGUAGGGUAACGGCCUACCAAGGCGACGAUGCUUAGCUGGUCUGAGAGGAUGAACAGCCACACUGGGACUGAGACACGGCCCAGACUCCUACGGGAGGCAGCAGUAGGGAAUUUUCGGCAAUGGGCGAAAGCCUGACCGAGCAAUGCCGCGUGAAUGAUGAAGGCCUUCGGGUCGUAAAAUUCUGUUGUUAAGGAAGAACAAUUAGUCCAGGAAAUGGGAUUAAUCUGACGGUACUUAACCAGAAAGCUCCGGCUAACUACGUGCCAGCAGCCGCGGUAAUACGUAGGGAGCGAGCGUUAUCCGGAAUUAUUGGGCGUAAAGAGUGCGUAGGUGUUCUGUUAAGUCAAAUCUGAAA